rnacentral:rRNA from 1 species
CCUGGCGGCCGUAGCGCGGUGGUCCCACCUGACCCCAUGCCGAACUCAGAAGUGAAACGCCGUAGCGCCGAUGGUAGUGUGGGGUCUCCCCAUGCGAGAGUAGGGAACGGCCAGGC